AUCCAAGUUAGUUUUGACCAUGACGGAUGCGGGUUUUCCUGCAAUGAUAAUUUUAACCGUUGGGCGGCGCUUUUCUUGUCUUUGCCAUAGGAUGCACUCCCUUGGCGAAGCAAUCUUGAUGCUGUUUCACGGUCCACUCUGCAAUGACGAGAAGACAUAUCCAAACCAGAGACGUAGAAGUGACGGCCCAGAAUUGCAUGGAAUGGCGCAGGAUGGUCCACAAGAGACGUUGCCUUGAUGCAGACCACUUGACACAACGAUGAAGAGACCUUAUCAAGUAUCAAGAUCAUCCCCAGUCCAUUCUACUCCACAGCUGCAUAACAGUCGAGCCUAACGAUUUUCUCAUCGCAUCAAUGUGCGCAGUUACAAUAAACCUGCUUCCAUCAAACAUAAAUCAUGUGUUGAGCUAUAACUUGUUAUGCUACGUGUUAUUCAACCAUAUUUUAUCCAAUGUGAUAUCCUAGUCUGUUUUAUCAAGCCCCAUCCUAUGGAAUUCCAGUCUUGUGCCUCACGCUAAUGUGCCUAGUGCCUCAUGCUAAUUUUUGCCAUCGGAAUCACAGCAUAUAGCCCUCUUCACCGCAUGGAUGCCACACACUUAGUCUUCUAGCGAAGUGGUAUCAUGACUCGCCACAUUGUUCCCGAAUUUUCCAAUAGCAUUGAUACAUUACAUCCUUUACAAACAUUAUGUGUCAUAGAAAGAAAGAUUGUUACUUCCAUAUUGACGCACUAGCUGCAAUUAGGUUGGAAUUUGAUCUCCCAUUUUUUAGUUGUAACUGCGUUUAAGUUGUGGACCUGGAAGAUGUAUGUCAAUACACAGCUGUAAACCCUUUCAAA